rnacentral:tRNA from 1 species
GGUCCGUUGGUCAAGGGGUUAAGACACCGCCCUUUCACGGCGGUAACACGGGUUCGAAUCCCGUACGGGCUA